UGUUGAUGUGAUGAUCAAUUUCUCAGAAUGAAAACAUGUCGAUCCAAAGAUUCAGACUACAAUUAUCUGAUCAACA